CGUAACCCUAUCCGGUAGGGGGAAGUAACUAGCCCCGAAAGGGUGGCUAAUACCGCAUACGUCCACUGCUUCGUGGGCAGUGGGGAAAACCGCAAGGUGCCGAUGGAGCGGCCCGCGUUCGAUUAGCUGGUUGGUGGGGUAACGGCCUACCAAGGCGACGAUCGAUAGCUGGUCUCAGAGGAUGAUCAGCCAGACUGGGACUGAGACACGGCCCAG
rnacentral:rRNA from 1 species